CCAGCUUUAAUAUUAAUUAAAUUAAUUACUGUAAGUAAACGAAUUACAAUUUCAACGUAAACUGACCGAUGUUUUUGACAAAAAGCGCGUGCACUAUUUAUGUUCGAAAAGUUAUAAAUAAGCACGACGAGACGUGAAAGAACACAUGUUUAUGGGAAGGGGAGAGAAAAUAUACUUGCUAUACUUAUCGCGGCAUAUCCCUGAUAAAUUCAAUUCAAUUCAUAAAAUAUAAUUAAAACCAAAUCCACCAAAUCAGCGGCGCCGGCUAUGGCAAUAUAUUAUAGGCAUUACCUGAAC